AACUAGAAGGCUAGAAUGAAAGGUUGGACGAGGGAUGAGCUGUCUCCUUUAUGUAAUUUGAAUUUAACUUUUGAGUGAAAAGGCUCAAAUUAUUUAGUGGGACGAUAAGACCCUAUAAAACUUUAUAUAAGUUUAAUUUGGCUUACAAUUUGAGUGAAAAGUAGCUUUAUUAGGCUUAUAUUUCGUUGGGGAGAUGUAGAUAUAAUGUGUAACUGUCUGUUUAAUUUAAUAAUUAUAAUUAGUGUGUGAUCCUUCUUUGUGGAUUAAAAGUAUAAGUUACUUUAGGGAUAACAGCGUGAUUUUCUUUGAGAGUUCUUAUCGACAAGAGUAGUUGCGACCUCGAUGUUGAAUUAAAAUUUCAGUUAGGUGUAGCCGUCUAGCUGGUAGGUCUGUUCGACCUUUAAAAUUUUACAUGAUUUGAGUUCAAACCGGUGUGAGCCAGGUUGGUUUCUAUCUAA
rnacentral:rRNA from 1 species